rnacentral:snRNA from 1 species
GUGCUUGGCUCGGCAGCACACCUCUACUAGGUAUGAAAUAGUGAAGAUUACCAUGGGCCUUCCCCAAGGAUGGCACACAAAAGAAUGGGAAAGGGCAAUUAGGG